UACGUAGGGGGCAAGCGUUGUCCGGAUUCAUUGGGCGUAAAGCGCUCGCAGGUGGUUUGCUACGUCGUGCGUGAAAGACCCCGGCUCAACUGGGGAGGGUCGUGCGAUACGGGCAGACUGGAGGCCAGUAGGGGGAUGCGGAAUUCCGGGUGUAGUGGUGGAAUGCGUAGAGAUCCGGAGGAACACCAGCGGCGAAGGCGGCAUCCUGGACUGGUCCUGACACUCAGGAGCGAAAGCGUGGGGAGCGAUCCGG
rnacentral:rRNA from 1 species